rnacentral:tRNA from 1 species
GUCAGGAUGGCCGAGUGGUCUAAGGCGCCAGACUCAAGAACCGAGGUUCUUCGCCGACAUGAGGUGUGUUGAGUAUUCUGGUCUCCGAAUGGAGGCGUGGGUUCGAAUCCCACUUCUGACA